rnacentral:tRNA from 1 species
GUGGUUGUGGCUCAGUAGUAGAGCGCUCACCCAGCAUGUGUGAGGCACUGGGUUCAAUCCUUAGCUCCACA